rnacentral:rRNA from 1 species
GCAGUCGAGCGGACGGAUGGGAGCUUGCUCCCUGAAGUCAGCGGCGGACGGGUGAGUAACACGUGGGCAACCUGCCUGUAAGACUGGGAUAACUUCGGGAAACCGGAGCUAAUACCGGAUAAUGCAUAACCUCUCAUGAGGUUAUGCUGAAAGAUGGUUUCGGCUAUCACUUACAGAUGGGCCCGCGGCGCAUUAGCUAGUUGGUGAGGUAACGGCUCACCAAGGCAACGAUGCGUAGCCGACCUGAGAGGGUGAUCGGCCACACUGGGACUGAGACACGGCCCAGACUCCUACGGGAGGCAGCAGUAGGGAAUCUUCCGCAAUGGACAAAAGUCUGACGGAGCAACGCCGCGUGAGUGAUGAAGGU